CCUACGGGAGGCUGCAGUGGGGAAUAUUGGACAAUGGGCGAAAGCCUGAUCCAGCCAUGCCGCGUGUGUGAAGAAGGCCUUCGGGUUGUAAAGCACUUUCAGUGGGGAAGAAAGCCUUGGGGCUAAUACCCUCGAGGAAGGACAUCACCCACAGAAGAAGCACCGGCUAACUCCGUGCCAGCAGCCGCGGUAAUACGGAGGGUGCGAGCGUUAAUCGGAAUUACUGGGCGUAAAGCGCGCGUAGGCGGUCUGAUAAGCCGGUUGUGAAAGCCCCGGGCUCAACCUGGGAACGGCAUCCGGAACUGUCAGGCUAGAGUGCAGGAGAGGAAGGUAGAAUUCCCGGUGUAGCGGUGAAAUGCGUAGAGAUCGGUAGGAAUACCAGUGGCGAAGGCGGCCUUCUGGACUGACACUGACGCUGAGGUGCGAAAGCGUGGGUAGCAAACAGGAUUAGAUACCCCGGUAGUC
rnacentral:rRNA from 1 species